AUUGAACGCUGGCGGCAGGCCUAACACAUGCAAGUCGAACGGUAGCACAGAGAGCUUGCUCUCGGGUGACGAGUGGCGGACGGGUGAGUAAUGUCUGGGAAACUGCCCGAUGGAGGGGGAUAACUACUGGAAACGGUAGCUAAUACCGCAUAACGUCGCAAGACCAAAGUGGGGGACCUUCGGGCCUCACACCAUCGGAUGUGCCCAGAUGGGAUUAGCUAGUAGGUGGGGGAAUGGCCCACCUAGGCGACGAUCCCUAGCUGGUCUGAGAGGAUGACCAGCCACACUGGAACUGCGACACGGUCCAGACUCCUACGGGAGGCAGCAGUGGGGAAUAGUGCACAAUGGUCUGAAGCCUGAUGCAGCCAUGCCGCGUGUAUGAAGAAGGCCUUCGGGUUGUAAAGUACUUUCAGCGGGGAGGAAGGCGGUGGAGUUAAUAACUUCACCGAUUGACGUUACCCGCAGAAGAAGCACCGGCUAACUCCGUGCCAGCCGCCGCAGUAA
rnacentral:rRNA from 1 species